UACAGAGGGUGCAAGCGUUGUUCGGAAUCAUUGGGCGUAAAGGGCGUGUAGGCGGUCUGUUAAGUCAUGUGUGAAAGCCCUCGGCUCAACCGAGGAACUGCGCUCCAAACUACCGUGCUAGAGGAAGAUAGAGGUGAGCAGAACUGAUGGUGGAGCGGUGAAAUGCGUUGAUAUCAUCAGGAAUACCGGAGGCGAAGGCGGCUCACUGGGUCUUUUCUGACGCUGAGGAACGAAAGCUAGGGGAGCAAACGGG
rnacentral:rRNA from 1 species